rnacentral:rRNA from 1 species
CCUACGGGAGGCAGCAGUGAGGAAUAUUGGUCAAUGGACGAGAGUCUGAACCAGCCAAGUAGCGUGAAGGAUGACUGCCCUAUGGGUUGUAAACUUCUUUUAUAAAGGAAUAAAACGAGGCACGUGUGCCUUUUUGCAUGUACUUUAUGAGUAAGGAUCGGCUAACUCCGUGCCAGCCUCCGCGGUAAUACGGAGGAUCCGGGCGUUAUCCGGAUUUCUUGGGUUUAAAGGGAGCGUAGAUGGGUUGUUAAGUCAGUUGUGAAAGUUUGCGGCUCAACCGUAAAAUUGCAAUUGAUACUGGCAGUCUAGAGUACAGUUGAGGUGAGUGGAAUUCGAGGUGUAGCGGUGAAAUGCUUAGAUAUCACGAAGAACCCCGAUUGCGAAGGCAGCUUACUAAACUGUGACUGACAUUGAUGCGCGAAAGUGUGGGUAUCAAACAGGAUUAGAUACCCCAGUAGUC